rfam:Sinorhizobium fredii GR64 contig00069, whole genome shotgun sequence.
CCUCUUCGAUCUGCUGCGGGCAGAUGAAAUGGAUAUGGCUGUCCAUGCCACCGGCCGUGACGAUCUUGCCCUCGCCGGCGAUCGCCUCGGUGCCCGGGCCGACGAUGAUAUUCACGCCAGGCUGCGUAUCCGGAUUGCCGGCCUUGCCGAUCGCGACGAUCCGCCCGUCCUUGAGGCCGAUAUCCGCCUUGACGAUCCCCCAAUGGUCGACGAUCAGCGCAUUGGUGAUCACCGUAUCGACCGCGCCGCCCUCGCGCGUCACCUGGCUCUGGCCCAUGCCGUCGCGAAUG